rnacentral:rRNA from 2 species
UGGGGAAUAUUGCGCAAUGGGCGGAAGCCUGACGCAGCAACGCCGCGUGCGGGAUGACGGCCUUCGGGUUGUAAACCGCUUUCAGCAGGGACGAAGCUUUUGUGACGGUACCUGCAGAAGAAGCACCGGCUAACUACGUGCCAGCAGCCGCGGUGAUACGUAGGGUGCGAGCGUUGUCCGGAUUUAUUGGGCGUAAAGAGCUUGUAGGCGGUCGGUCACGUCGAAAGUGCAAACUCAGGGCUUAACCCUGAGCCUGCUUUCGAUACGGGCUGACUAGAGGAAGGUAGGGGAGAAUGGAAUUCCCGGUGGAGCGGUGGAAUGCGCAGAUAUCGGGAGGAACACCAGUGGCGAAGGCGGUUCUCUGGACCUUUCCUGACGCUGAGAAGCGAAAGCGUGGGGAGCAAACAGG